CCUACGGGUGUCUGCAGUCGAGAAUCAUUCACAAUGGGGGAAACCCUGAUGCAGCGACGCCGCGUGAGUGAAGAAUUCUUUCGGUAUGUAAAGCUCUAUCAGCAGGGAAGAAAAUUACGGUACCUGAUUACUUCUCCCCGUCUAACUACGUGCCAGCAGCCGCGGUAAUACGUAGGGGGCAAGCGUUAUCCGGAUUUACUGGGGGUAAAGGGAGCGUAGACGGCAGCACAAGUCUGUCGUGAAAUGCCGGGGCUUAACCCCGGAACUGCUUUGGAAACUGUGAAGCUAGAGUGCAGGAGAGGGAAGUGGAAGUCGUAGUGUAGCGGUGAAAUGCGUAGAUAUUAGGAGGAACACCAGUGGCGAAGGCGGCUUACUGGACUGUAACUGACGUUGAGGCUCGAAAGCGUGGGGAGCAAACAGGAUUAGAUACCCUUGUAGUC
rnacentral:rRNA from 1 species